CCAAUGCCGCACUUCGAACUGUUGGGCAACCGAAAAACAUGGGUGACACCGUAUCAAGAGGUGCAGAUGUCAAGGUCCACACCUAACUCAAAUGACGCACCUAAAGAAUAAACACGGUGAGAAGUCUUGUUCAGAAGACUUAAAACAUUGAACCCUCGCCGAAAGGUAAAAUCAGUAGUUAUCCAUAUUUAUCCUUUCUGCAUUCCCUUUUUUCUUAAAUUAUUUACUUUCCUUAAAUAGCUUGUUAGUUAAUCAUGCUAUCUUGAAAAGAAAAUAAAAAUGUUUAAAACAGUAAGCCCCAUGUGAGUAUCCUCGUGGCAUAAAACCCAUUCACUGUGGUGGCGUAAAAAUAAAAUAAAUAUAUUCUUGUCCUGUAAAAAUGAAAAUAUAAAAAUAAAUUUAUGAUCCUACUAAAGAGAGUAUUAUUUAUUAGAGGAAGCUCAACUUGAUAAAGGCUAAGAGAUUUUAUGCUAACACUUAACCAGUUCCACAAAGCUUUGUUGUCUAUUUGAGCUUCACAUAAUUUAAGGAUCAAGGAAGACUAGCAGACGGAGGAUAUCCUAAUCGCUAUUAGGGUGCUGCCAAUAUUCAAAUACACCUACGCCACCUGCUAGCUACAUCAGAAUAAAUUACGUUAAAAUCCAGCUUGGGGGAGAGCACCCCCAUUUAUCCAGUUAAGUGUUUCUACUCACAUUUAUACUUU
rnacentral:lncRNA from 1 species